CGCGAGACCCAAACAGGCCCCACGUGUCAGGGGGCGGAGCCCUACCCUGACGUCACGGCGCACGGCGGCUGGAAGGGAGACUAGCGCCGGCAAACCCUAGCUGGGUUCUCGCGUCCCGGGAACUUUUUCCUCCCUCCUGUCCCGCCCCCUUCCCUGUCCCUGUCCCACCUUCCGGCCCCCGGGACCCCCGGCAACGGUUGUGGCUGCUGACCCGCUUCAGCCGGAGUGUUGCUGAGCGCCGAGCCCGAGGGCGCCCGUGAGAGCCCCUGUUGAGUUCCCUGCUGUGUAGGAUGCCAGAACUGGAGACUCUGGAGAUCAUGAAGUUGGUGAAUUGCCCUGAGACCUUCACCCCGGACAUGAGGUGCAUCAUGGGCGAGUCCCCUUCAGUGCAGGGCUACUUCGUCCUGGCGGGAAUGAACUCUGCUGGCCUUUCGUUUGGUGGAGCUGGAAGAGUUGACCAGAGAGUAAAGUGUUAGCUGUGCUGCUGGAAGACCCUUCACUGAAACGAGCUGCAGAAGCUUUCGACCCUACACCCAUCUGUUGAAGGUUCAAAAUGAUUCUUCGAUUGCAUAUGCUGAGAAGAUUGUGGAGCCCCUCUCCCAAUACAGCAGAAGUGGUGAUAACAGAUCAUUUCAGAGAGAAGAAAAAAGUACCAACCACCUAAAACAAGAGUCCGGCUACUCCUUGAACAAUCCCUCCAAUCUCCAGGGAGAGAAGAUGUGGAGAGAUGUCUGGAAAGAGAAGACGGAAAGCAGACCUUGGACUCAGGUAACAUACGCUCUCCACACUGGGAACUCUCAAGGGACCCAAGUGGGUCAUCUCUGUGUGGAUCUGUGUCUUUUGUGUGGGGGAAGCAACCCUGGGGUCCCAGUAGCUCUCUUCAACUCAGCGUGGCCACAGGUUUAGUUACUCAGCCAGGGUGCUUGUCCUGCCUCCCCUGUCCUCUUCUAAAGGAGAGAGCGUGCACUGAGCCAGUGGGCCUCCUGUGGAAGGGACACAUGAGGCUGAACUGAAAGUCACAUGCACUCGGAGAAGAGGAACAUCAAGGUGGGGUGACUGACCUGUGAAUAGCUGAGAGAAAAGCAGCACUGUUUCAUAGAAAACUCAGCAUCGCUGGAGCUUAGUUUGAGGUCAGACCCUUUCAGCUAGGAAAAGCAACACUAAAGGCAACAUGGUCUUUCCCUUUCGAACACUGUGGCUUGUUUAGUCGGCUAAAUAAACCACAACCCCCCUCAUUAUACAGAUUAGCAAGAGAUGAAGAAAAUUAUAGGCAGGUGGCCCUAGCCCAACAGUCUGAUAACUGGGUCAGUAGCGAGGCCCAGGAUGGUUAACUACUUAUCUGUGCUAAACCCCAGGCAGCGCCCACACGAUGCCUCUCAUCAGCGAGGUAGAUGGUCAUCCUCCUGCUAGAGGUAUCAGGGUGCCGACCCACAGCACAAAGGAACGGGAGAAGGACCUACCUGGCUAAAAGGUGUAAGCUCUUCCACACGGCUGUAUCACACAGACAGCAGCUAGCCAGAAUUCGCAGGUUACUCCGAGAAAACUUAGCCCCACGGAGAUGGACUCUUACCCUGAGGCCUGCACACCACAAGCCUCCCUUGCUUCAAGACACAGCAUUUGAAGUCAGGCUGUCACUGUAACCCACUUCCACAAGUGGAGUCUACCUCUGUCCUGCCUUCCUGUCCCCACAGGAACCUGAGAUGGGUGGAGGGAUGACCAGCCCAGAGUGAGUAUCAGGAGAUGGGAAACUGCAGGAGGGAGGAGAAGAUGGAGGGACAAGAGAGGGUGCAAAGGAAAAGUUUUAAACGCUUCAAAUUAUAUCAGGGAGAUAAGAGGUGGGAGGCAGAGGUUAAAUCAAGAAGGUUAAAUCAAGAAGAGGGAUGGGAUCAGGAGGAGGAGAAAAGCUCCUAAGAUGACUAGAAGGUGGGAAGGUGGUGAGACUGCCUGGCAUUACUUCCCGUGCAAGUCACUUAGCUCCAUGUCAUCCUUUCGGCGCUUAUGGGUGAAGAGGGAGGUGACCGGGUAGAGCUUGGCCUUGGCCUGGAACCGCUGUCCUGCGAUGUCAAUCUCAUAUUCUCCCCGGUUGAUGAAAUCUGCUGUCACCACCUGCUCUUCUCCGGUGUCCUCGGAAAAAUUGUGCACAAAGCCCAGGCACACGUGGCGCUCCAGGGUGUAACCAUAUGCGCUGCUGGUGGUCUUGCCCACGUACUGCCCGUUUCGGUAAAUGGGCUCCCCCCACCAAGGCCAGAGGUCCAGGUCCGUGUCGUGGUCAUCCAGGAUGAACAUAGUGAGGCGUUUGUACACCCCGUUCUGCUUCUGCUGCAGCAGGGCAUCUCGCCCAAUGAAAUCCAUCCCCUAGGAAAGAGGCAGCACAGAGACAGCGUCACCACUCGGGACCCAGUGUCACUGCAGUGGGCCGCCCACUCCCCACCACACCCCUGCAAGCUCUGGAGAAAGUGUGCUUCCCCCAUGCGGAAAACUGCAUUCCCAGUAUGAAAGACACCUGCAGAGAAUUCUUGUAACAACACAGUGUUAUUACAGCUUCCUGGAGAGGUGAGCUGAGGGCUCAGCUCCGCCACAGCCAUUAGGCGGAGGGAGCAGAGCGGCAGCCGGCUCACCUGCGCUUGCUCAGCCGUGCUAUGCUGCAGUCAUUUUCGUACCCUCCACCCUCGUUGAGCAUGCCGGUAUGCACGAUGUGGCCCACGGGCACGUCAAGGUCAUUGGAGAAGAGGUAUUGGAGAAUUUCUAACGCCUGAUCCCCGGUGGACUGCAGGGUUAGGGAACGAAGCAGAGAGAACAAACGUGAGAACCUCUGGCCGGUAGUGCGGCCUGACAAGCAAAGUCACUUGCGGAGAAAAUUCAAUUAGCCGGUACUCGUGCAACGGUAUUUGCAGAUUUGCUCCACUGCAAUGAGCUCCAGAGAAAGCUAGCUAUUGAUUCUAGUGUCAAAUGAGCCUCUGCAAGCAGAUAAAGAACCAGAAACAAAGAGCUAAAAAUUCCAGAAAAUGUUAUAAUACAGGUGAAACACUAAAAUAUAUCAGAGUUCUUAGUCUGUUUUGAAGUGACAGAUGAAAAACAAGAGGCAUUCAAUAAAUAUGCAAGUU